GUAAAUAUUAAAUAGUCACACGAAUUAUAUGCAUUUAAAGAGUCAUUUCUACAUACCUUUGAUAGAUCAUAUGGUUGUUGUGAAGGUGUUCCCUUCAAAUAGGAAUAAUUAGUCCUCACUCAUGAAUUUUAAAGUUGAACACCAAUAAAAAUAGCCUGAUAUUUUCUCCAUAAAUUUAGAUAACAUAGUUCGUACCUGGUCAUCAUGAGCUGACUGUGUGGCAUCACAGUUUUUGUUUUGUGUUAACAUCC
rnacentral:lncRNA from 1 species